UGCACAUGAGAGAAAGAAUACAGAUUGGCUAUCAGAAUCCAGGCCCCAGAUCGAACAAUGAGGUCAAGCUGACGACCUCCAACUUCAGCGGAUCUCCAUGAAGACACAGAAGAGACUUGUUUUUUUAAAAUGACGAGAGAAACCCUAGGGCCAAUGUCGCUUCCUGAUGAUGAAAAUUACCCAAGUACAACAACUGUUUUUGUACAGUCCUUUCUUUCCUGUAAACUAGAGCUACGUCAGCCUCCACACACUCUAUGGCCCAAAAGAAAACAGCAAUUCAGUUACACACAGAGACAGGA